GACAGAGGGUGCAAACGUUGUUCGGAAUUACUGGGCGUAAAGGGUGCGUAGGCGGCGCGGUAAGUCGGGUGUGAAAUCUCGGAGCUUAACUCCGAAACUGCAUUCGAUACUGCCGUGCUUGAGGACUGGAGAGGAGACUGGAAUUUACGGUGUAGCGGUGAAAUGCGUAGAUAUCGUAAGGAAGACCAGUGGCGAAGGCGGGUCUCUGGGACGGUACUGACGCUGAGACGCGAAAGCGUGGGGAGCGAACAGG
rnacentral:rRNA from 1 species